rnacentral:rRNA from 1 species
UACGGAGGAUGCAAGCGUUAUCCGGAAUGAUUGGGCGUAAAGCGUCCGCAGGUGGCUAUGUAAGUCUGCUGUUAAAGAGUCUAGCUCAACUAGAUAAGAGCAGUGGAAACUACAAGGCUAGAGUACGUUCGGGGCAGAGGGAAUUCCUGGUGUAGCGGUGAAAUGCGUAGAGAUCAGGAAGAACACCAGUGGCGAAGGCAGCCCCCUGGGCUGAGAUUGACGCUCAGGCACGAAAGCGUGGGGAGCAAACAGG